GUAGGUGAACCUGCGGAAGGAUCAUUAUCGAAUUACCGGCGAGGGUUGUAGCUGGCCUCUCGAGGCAUGUGCACGCCCGAGCCUUUAUAUUCCAACACACCUGUGAACCAAAUGUAGGCCUUCGGGCCUAUGUCUUUCAUCAACCCAAAUGUAUGUCUAUAGAAUGUAAUAUUAUUAUUGCCUUAAAAACGCAAACAAUACAACUUUCAACAACGGAUCUCUUGGCUCUC
rnacentral:misc_RNA from 1 species